rnacentral:rRNA from 1 species
GGACCAAGGAGUCUAGCAUGUGCGCGAGUCAUUGGGACACAGAUUAAACCUAAAGGCGCAAUGAAAGUGAAGGUCCGCCUCGCGCGGACCGAGGGAGGAUGGACGGUCCCGAGGGACCGCCCCGCACUCCCGGGGCGUCUCGUUCUCACUAUCGAGAAGAGGCGCACCCAGAGCGUACACGCUGGGACCCGAAAGAUGGUGAACUAUGCCUGGUCAGGACGAAGUCAGGGGAAACCCUGAUGGAGGUCCGUAGCGAUUCUGACGUGCAAAUCGAUCGUCGGAACUGGGUAUAGGGGCGAAAGACUAAUCGAACCAUCUAGUAGCUGGUUCCCUCCGAAGUUUCCCUCAGGAUAGCUGGCGCUCGCUUCUCGCGAGUCUCAUUCGGUAAAGCGAAUGAUUAGAGGCAUUGGGGUCGAAACGGCCUCAACCUAUUCUCAAACUUUAAAUGGGUGAGAUCUCCGGCUUGCUUGAACUGUGAAGCCGCGAGAUAUCGGAUCAGAGUGCCAAGUGGGCCACUUUUGGUAAGCAGAACUGGCGCUGUGGGAUGAACCAAACGCCGAGUUAAAGCGCCUAAAUCGACGCUUAUGGGAUACCAUGAAAGGCGUUGGUAACUUAAGACAGCAGGACGGUGGCCAUGGAAGUCGGA